rnacentral:rRNA from 1 species
GUCUUUUUGAAUUAUAAUAUAAAGUUUGAUCUGCUCAAUGAUUAUUUAAAUUGCCGCGGUAUUUUAACUGUGCAAAGGUAGCAUAAUAAUUAGUUUUUUUAUUGAGAACUGGAAUGAAUGAUUUGACAAGAAAUAUACUGUCUCUUAAUAAUUUUUAUUUAAUUUAACUUUUUAGUUAAAAGGCUGAAAUUUAUCUUAAAGACGAGAAGACCCUAUAGAGUUUAAUUUUAUUUUAUAUUUUUUAUUUAGUAUUUAUUUUUAAUUUUAAAAUAAAAUUUUAUUGGGGUGAUUUAAAGAUUUAAUUAACUCUUUUUUUAUUUAUCACUUAUUUUUGAAUAUUUAAUCUUAUUUUUUGAAUUCAAAAUUAAAUUACCUUAGGGAUAACAGCGUUAUUUUUCUUUAAAGUUCUUAUUAAGAGAAAAGAUUGCGACCUCGAUGUUGGAUUAAAAUUUAAUUUUGGUGAAGUAGCUUUAGUUUUUAGUCUGUUCGACUAUUAAAAUUUU